UGUGUGCCAGAAGCGGAAGCUCUGCUGCGCGGAGAUGGCGGGUGUAGAGAAGCAGGGCGCGGUUUCUCUCCCCAAACAUUCGUACUGGUUCGACUUCUGGGUGUUUGUCUUAUUCGACAUCGCGUUUUUCCUCUUCAUGUACUUUGUCGUUCCUUAAGGGUCCACCUGUGGUGUGUGAGGACGAGGACCAUGGAGAUGGUAGCUGACCUGUGGAGUAGAUGAGACUGGUAAUGUGUGACCCCCAGAACAGCAAACCAUGGCUUUGGCUGAUCUCAUCUGUCCACAAAUCCACAAAGUACUGCAAGUGCAGUUUCUUGUUUCAGACCCCUCCCCCCCGAUUCAAAGAGCUACGCUUAUCCAAAGAACCAAAAACAUGUUACAGAUAACUAAUCAUUCCUCCACAGGCUUCACACCUCUACCUGAUUUGUAAUUAAUCUUAAACACUGUGCGCGUUUACAGGUAGACUGCACGAUGGUUAACCUAUGCUACGUUAAGAAGUGUUGAAUUAAUUAUUGUCAAUAUGAAUGAAUGAACAAUGUUUUGUUUGCUUUAAUCUCAAUCAUGUGAUUCACUAAAUACUGAAAAAUUAAAGUCUCUUAAUAUAUUUUUAAAAUUUGGUUUGGAAAGUGAAUUCAUACAUUGUUAAACUGUAUGCAGUUGACAUAUUACAUGCGUUAACUGUUUAACACUAUUAGUCAGAAGCCAGAAAAUCAGAGCAUAACAAAAAAAUUGUGACGCAUUAAAAAUAACAGCUCAACAGUCAUGAAAAUCCCGGAUAAGUUAUGGAAAAAUAAUGGGAUUUUAUGGACCCCAUGCAGUUAAUCAUACUAAAAAGUCUAGAAAGUAAAAAGCACAGAGACCUGAGAUUAAUGUAUCUGCACUUAGACUAGCUUUACCAACAUGUUAAUAUUAAUCUCGGCUGGCUAAGUUGUAACAUUCAGGACGUGCUGUGGAUGAUGUUUAGAUAUUUGAAGACUCUUGUUGGCUGUAAUGUAGCACCAUUUAGAAACAGAUCAAUAACUGACAGUGAGAGAUAGUCAAGCUAAAUACGGCCUCCACGCAGCAGGGUUAGUUUUUACCAGGAUUCAGAAAAAAGUGAUGCACUUUUAAAAUGAGAAUUCUUGGCUGAAACUGAUAUACAGGACAUGCUGGGUCAAAAGCGGACAAUAAAUAAAAAUAAUUAACAUAUGUAAACAUACUACAAUGAUUCCAGUAUGUAGGCUACAGAAUGGCCAUGAAAUCCAGUGUGUUCCACAACAGAGCAGUUGGUCAUCAAAGACAUUUAUUUCGUGUUUUAGUUUUGCUUUGCACUUUGUGUGUUGAGUGUGAAUUUUUAGGCUGAAAGAUGAGUCAUUUUUAUAUUCAAAUUGUACAUUUUUCAAAUCGCAUGAGCUGCAGUUGUUGAAAAUUAAAGUUGUUAUCACAACUUGAACAUAA